GGACUACACGGGUUUCUAAUCCUGUUUGCUCCCCACGCUUUCGUGCCUCAGCGUCAGUGUUGAUCCAGAUGGCCGCCUUCGCCACUGAUGUUCCUCCCGAUCUCUACGCAUUUCACCGCUACACCGGGAAUUCCACCAUCCUCUAUCACACUCUAGCUAUCCAGUAUCCAUUGCCAUUCCCAGGUUGAGCCCGGGGAUUUCACAACAGACUUAAAUAACCGCCUACGCACGCUUUACGCCCAGUAAUUCCGAUUAACGCUUGCACCCUUCGUAUUACCGCGGCUGCUGGCAC
rnacentral:rRNA from 1 species